rnacentral:rRNA from 1 species
UGAGGAAUAUUGGUCAAUGAGGGCAACCCUGAACCAGCCAAGUCGCGUGAAGGAAGAAGGUCUUAUGGAUUGUAAACUUCUUUUACACGGGAAUAAAGCGGGGGACGUGUCCCUCUUUGCAUGUACCGUGUGAAUAAGGAUCGGCUAACUCCGUGCCAGCAGCCGCGGUAAUACGGAGGAUCCGAGCGUUAUCCGGAUUUAUUGGGUUUAAAGGGUGCGUAGGCGGAAAGAUAAGUCAGCCUGUGAAAGUUUGCGGCUCAACCGUAAAAUUGCAGUUGAUACUGUUUUUCUUGAGUGUACAUAAGGUAGGCGGAAUUCGUGGUGUAGCGGUGAAAUGCUUAGAUAUCACGAAGAACUCCGAUUGCGAAGGCAGCUUACCGGGGUACAACUGACGCUGAUGCACGAAAGUGUGGGUAUCAAACA